GAUGUCAUGCGGCAGCUGAUCAGCCUGCCGCGUGAGUGAUGAAGCCUUCGGGUUGUAAAGCUCUUUUGUCGGGACGAAAACGACGGUACUAGUACCUGAAGCCCCGGACAAUUCCGUGCCAGCAACCCCCGUAUUGUGCCGUGCCCCCCGCCGAUGUAAUAA
rnacentral:rRNA from 1 species